GUGAACGCUGGCGGUAGGCCUAACACAUGCAAGUCGAACGGCAGCACAGUAAGAGCUUGCUCUUACGGGUGGCGAGUGGCGGACGGGUGAGGAAUACAUCGGAAUCUACUUUUUCGUGGGGGAUAACGUAGGGAAACUUACGCUAAUACCGCAUACGACCUACGGGUGAAAGCAGGGGAUCUUCGGACCUUGCGCGAUUGAAUGAGCCGAUGUCGGAUUAGCUAGUUGGCGGGGUAAAGGCCCACCAAGGCGACGAUCCGUAGCUGGUCUGAGAGGAUGAUCAGCCACACUGGAACUGAGACACGGUCCAGACUCCUACGGGAGGCAGCAGGGGGGAAUAUUGGCCAAUGGGCGAAAGCCUGACCCAGCCAUACCGCGUGGUGAAGAAGGCCUUCGGGUUGUAAAGCCCUUUUGUUGGGAAAGAAAAGCAGCAGGUUAAUACCCCGCUGUUCUGACGGUACCCAAAGAAUAAGCACCGGCUAACUUCGUG
rnacentral:rRNA from 1 species